rnacentral:rRNA from 1 species
UGCCAGCAGCCGCGGUAAUACGAAGGGUGCUAGCGUUGUUCGGAAUUACUGGGCGUAAAGAGCAUGUAGGCGGAUGAAUUAGUCAGAGGUGAAAGCCCUCGGCUUACCCGAGGAAUUGCGCCUUAUACUGCUCAACUUGAGGACCAGAGGGGUAGGAGGAACUCCAGGUGUAGCGGUGAAAUGCGCAGAUAUCUGGAGGAAGGCCGGCGGCGAAGGCGUCCUACUGGCUGGUUUCUGACGCUGAGGUGCGAAAGCGUGGGGAGCGAACAGGAUUAGAUA